GACGAACGCUGGCGGCGUGCUUAACACAUGCAAGUCGAACGGAAAGGCCCUGCUUUUGUGGGGUGCUCGAGUGGCGAACGGGUGAGUAACACGUGAGUAACCUGCCCUUGACUUUGGGAUAACUUCAGGAAACUGGGGCUAAUACCGGAUAGGAGCUGCUGCUGCAUGGAGGGGGUUGGAAAGUCUCGGCGGUUGGGGAUGGACUCGCGGCUUAUCAGCUUGUUGGUGGGGUAGUGGCUUACCAAGGCAUUGACGGGUAGCCGGCCUGAGAGGGUGACCGGCCACAUGAGGACUGAGAGACGGACCAGACUCCUACGUGAGGCAACAGUGGGGAGUAUUACACAGUGGGCCGAAGCCUGAUGCAGCAACGCCGCGUGCGUGAUGACGGCCUUCGGGUUGUAAACCGCUUUCGCCUGUGACGAAGCGUGAGUGACGGUAAUGGGUAAAGAAGCACCGGCUAACUACGUG
rnacentral:rRNA from 1 species